UACGGGAGGCAGCAGUGGGGAAUAUUGCACAAUGGGCGCAAGCCUGAUGCAGCCAUGCCGCGUGUGUGAAGAAGGCCUUCGGGUUGUAAAGCACUUUCAGUUGUGAGGAAGGUGGUGUCGUUAAUAGCGGCAUCAUUUGACGUUAGCAACAGAAGAAGCACCGGCUAACUCCGUGCCAGCAGCCGCGGUAAUACGGAGGGUGCGAGCGUUAAUCGGAAUUACUGGGCGUAAAGCGCAUGCAGGUGGUUUGUUUAAGUCAGAUGUGAAAGCCCGGGGCUCAACCUCGGAACUGCAUUUGAAACUGGCAGACUAGAGUACUGUAGAGGGGGUAGAAUUUCAGGUGUAGCGGUGAAAAUGCGUAGAGAUCUGAAGGAAUACCGGUGGCGAAGGCGGCCCCCCUGGACAGAUACUGACACUCAGAUGCGAAAGCGUGGGGAGCAAACAGGAUUAGAUACCCUGGUAG
rnacentral:rRNA from 1 species